rnacentral:rRNA from 1 species
AGUCGAACGGCAGCACGGACUUCGGUCUGGUGGCGAGUGGCGAACAGGUGAAUGUAUCGGAACGUGUAUAGUAGCGGGGGAUAACUACGCGGCGUAGCUAAUACCGCAUACGCCCUUCGGGGAAAGCGGGGGACCUUUCGGGCCUCGCACUAUUGACGGCGAUAUCGGAUUAGCUAGUUGGUGGGGUAACGGCUCACCGGGCGACGAUCCGUAGCUGGUUUGAAGGACGACCAACCUCACUGGGACUGAGACACGGCCCAGACUCCUACGGGAGGCAGCAGUGGGGAAUUUUGGACAAUGAAACCCUGAUCCAGCCAUCCCGCGUGCAUUGAAGGCCUUCCGGGUUGUAAAAAGCACUUUUGGCAGGAAAGAAACGGCACGGGGACAGCACCCCGUGCAACUGACGGUACCUGCAGAAUAAGCACCGGCUAACCACGUGCCAGCAGCCGCGGUAAUACGUAGAGUGCAAGCGUUAAUCAAGGUUACUGGGCGUAAAGCGUGCGCAGGCGGUUCGGAAGAAAGAUGUGAAAUCCCAGAGCUUAACUUUGGAACUACAUUUUUAACUACCGAGCUAGAGUGUGUCAGAGGGAGGUGGAGAUUCCACGUGUAGCAGUGAAGUAAAUGAAUAUGCGGAGGAGGGAACACCGAUGGCGAAGGCAGCCUCCUGGGAUAACACUGACGCUCGCCGCGAAAGCGUGGGGAGCAAACGGGAUUAGAUACCCUGGUGUCCACGCCCUAAACGAUGUCAACUAGCUGUUGGGGCCUUCGGGCGCGGUAGCGCAACUAACGCGUGAAGUUGACCGCCUGGGGGAGUACGGUCGCAAGAUUAAAACUCAAAGGAAUUGACGGGGACCCGCAAGCGGUGGAUGAUGUGGAUUAAUUCGAUGCAACGCGAAAAACCUUACCUACCCUUGACAUUGUCUGGAAUCCCGAAGAGAUUUGGGAGUGCUCGCAAAGAGAACCGGAACACAGGUGCUGCAUGGCUGUCGUCAGCUCGUGUCGUGAGAUGUUGGGUUAAGUCCGCAACGGGCGCAACCCUUGUCAUUAGAUUGCUACGAAAGGGCACUCUAAUGAGACUGCCGGUGACAAACCGGAGGAAGGUGGGGAUGAUCAAGUCCUCAUGGCCCUUAUGGGUAGGGCUUCACACGUCAUACAAUGGUCAGGACAGGGGUCGCCAACCCGCGAGGAGAGCCAAUCCCGAAACCCGAUCGUAGUCCGGAUCGCAGUCUGCAACUCGACUGCGUGAAGUCGGAAUCGCUGGUAAUCGCGGAUCAGCAUGUCGCAGUGAAUACGUUCCCGGGUCUUGUACACACCGCCCGUCACACCAUGGGAGUGGGUUUUACCAAGUAGUUAAGCUAACCGUAAGGAGGCGAUUACCACGGUAGGAUUCAUGACUGGGGUGAAGUCGUAACAAAGGUAG